rnacentral:rRNA from 1 species
CCACCUACGGGAGGCAGCAGUGGGGGAUAUUGCACAAUGGGGGGAACCCUGACGCAGCGACGCCGCGUGAAUGACGAAGGCCUUCGGGUCGUAAAGUUCUUUCGACAGGGAAGAAAAUGCCUAUAAGUAACUGUGUAUGUAUUGACGGUACCUGUAUAAGCAGCCCCGGCUAACUCCGUGCCAGCAGCCGCGGUAAUACGGAGGGGGCGAGCGUUGUUCGGAGUGACUGGGCGUAAAGAGCACGUAGGCGGUGUUGUAAGUCAUUAGUCAAAGACUAGAGCUCAACUUUAGUAAGGCUAGUGAUA